GUAGAAGGUCUCCGGUCUGAACGAACGAACGAGGAGCUCACCGUGGUGGAGCGCAACCUCCUCUCCGUCGCCGACAAGAAUAUCAUGGGCGCCCGCCGCGCCUCCUGGCGCAUCAUUUCCUCCAUUGACCAGAAGGAGGAGUUCUGCGGCAACGCCGUCCAUGUUGCCACCUCUAGCUCUCCUUGAUCUAUGAACUGCUCGAUUCCAAGCUCAUCCCGUUCGCCACCUCCGGAGACUCCGGAAAUCACUCUUGGCACAAGCAGGGUAGAAUGUUACUUGGAGCCUAAGUAGGACUGGCUGUGAGAAGCUAUAGUCAUUCUAUUUUGCUUUCUACAAUUUACUGUGAUUAGUAAGCUGUAAACUAGAGUAUUGUCCUUGAGUAUUAAUAUUAGUUCGUUGGCUACAAGUUUCUUCGUUUGUGUAUUUUGGUUAGGUUAUUCUAACCAGUUUGUGCACACAGUUUUCUUCUCUUAGCAAGGACAAUGGGAAUUUGAAUCCUCACGCUUUAGGAAAUGGAGAAAGAAAUGGUGUGGACACCAUUGAAUAGGAGAAUUAAAUGAGGCGUCCGCGUUUAGCGGGGAAGAUGAGAUGCUGAUGUUCCGAUCUUUGCAACUUCAGGUAGUAUUUUUGGGCUUCUUUUCCACAUUUACUUAUUCGUAUCAUUUCUCUGUUCAUCUUUUAUAUCUCUUGAUCAUGCAUAAAAUGGUUUUUGCUUAGUCAAUUGUGAUACUUUAUUUAGUUUGUUAAAAAGAAAGGAUGCUAUUUUUCUCCAUUGGUGUUGACAUGUUGCUUACAUGAGAUUGGGUGACCCUUUUGUGUUUGGAUGUUAUCAUCUGUGAAAUAAAGAACAAGGAUUAAACACACACAAAAAAAAAAAGUGAAUUGCGAUCUCUACUUUUAAGAGAGAUCGCCCCUCGCUCUUCUAUUUCAAUUUCGAGUAAGUUUCUCCUCUAUUUUCUCAAGUUCCAACAGCGAGAAUACAACCCAUGGCCAUUUUUGUAGGGUCUUGGUAUUUGUGAAAUUUUAUUUGGUAAAAAGAAAUGAGUCGAAAUCCCUUGGGCAAAUAUGAAUUUUGUUAGUACUUUUGUUGGCUAUUUUUUCAUUUCUUUUUCAGAUCUUUUUGUCCCCUCCAAGAGUUGAUUCUUUUGUGCAUUUGUGGCCUUCUUGAAGUUGCAUUAGACAUAAACAGUUCUAAGGGAGAGAAUGCGUAGUAUAUAUC